UACGUAGGGGGCUAGCGUUGUCCGGAAUCAUUGGGCGUAAAGCGCGCGUAGGCGGCCCGGUAAGUCCGCUGUGAAAGUCCAGGGCUCAACCCUGGAAAGCCGGUGGAUACUGCCGGGCUAGAGUCCGGAAGAGGCGAGUGGAAUUCCUGGUGUAGCGGUGGAAUGCGCAGAUAUCUGGAGGAACACCGGUGGCGAAGGCGGCGUUCUGGACUGCAACUGACACUGAGGAACGAAAGCCAGGGGAGCAAACGGG
rnacentral:rRNA from 1 species